rnacentral:rRNA from 1 species
CACGUAGGGUGCGAGCGUUGUCCGGAAUUAUUGGGCGUAAAGAGCUCGUAGGCGGUGUGUCGCGUCGGCCGUGAAAACCUGGGGCUUAACUCUGGGCUUGCGGUCGAUACGGGCAUCACUGGAGUUCGGCAGGGGAGACUGGAAUUCCUGGUGUAGCGGUGAAAUGCGCAGAUAUCAGGAGGAACACCGGUGGCGAAGGCGGGUCACUGGGCCGCAACUGACGCUGAGGAGCGAAAGCAUGGGGAGCGAACAGG